GGGCACCCAAGGGGGCCUAUAACCAUGGUGGGUUUUCACCCACCCUACAUAGGUGGAGCUGGUCAUUCCGGUUUCGCCGUUUGCUAAACGGAAGACAGAAA
rfam:Roseovarius atlanticus strain R12B contig19, whole genome shotgun sequence.